CCUGGGAUAAGGGCAUGAAUCAAAGAGAAGUUUUUGUGAGAAGUCCCAAAGAUUGGAUUAGGUCCAUGUAACUCCAGAGCUUCAAUUCUGAGUCCCAGUCAAAUAAUUAUCUAUCCACCAAAAAAAAAAAAAAAAAAAAAAAGAAGAAGAAAGAAAAAAAAAUCAGCAACAUCAAUCAAUACAUUAAAAAAAUAUGACAAUAGAUGUGAUAUUCCACAUUCAUGGUCUUUUCGAUUCUGAAAAGGUUUUUAAGAAGACAAUAUAUCCCCAAGUAAAUGGUCAGAUGUCAAAGCAAGUUAGUAUACCUUUACAUACCAAAUUGUGACAAAUAAGAAAGAAAAUUUUAUACCAUAGAAGUUACGUGAGAAAAGAGAUGACUGGAAUGGAGUGCAUAGAAAAAACAUCAUGGAGAAGGAGGAACAUGAGCUGCAUGAUAAAGGCUGGGUUUGAGAAAUAGAGAUAGCGCAUUUGGGGAGGAUUUUGGACACUAGUAGAUUAGAGGAAAAGCUUGAACAAAGGCAUAGAA